rnacentral:misc_RNA from 1 species
GGAUGAAGAACGUAGCGAAAUGCGAUAAGUAAUGCGAAUUGCAGAAUUCAGUGAGUCAUCGAAUCUUUGAACGCACAUUGCGCCCUGUGGCAUUCCACAGGGCAUGCCUGUUCGAGCGUCAUUUCAACCCUCAAGCCCCGCUUGGUGUUGGGCCCUGCCCGUACGCGGCCGGCCCUAAAGACAGUGGCGGCGCCGUCUGGUCCCUAAGCGUAGUACAGCUCUCGCUCCAGGGCCCCCCGGCCGCCUGCCAGAACCCCCCCUCCCUGUGGUUGACCUCGGAUCAGGUAGGGAUACCCGCUGAACUUAAGCAUAUCAAUAAGCGGAGGA